CUCCCUGCCCGCGCGGUCCCGGCCGCCUGCCCCCGCGGGGUAGGGGGCACCGUGCCGCGAGGACUCAUCAGCCUUCUGCUUCGCGCCCGGCGGCCCGCACGCCCCGGCCGCGGCCCGCCCCCGCCGCCCUGGCACCGAGGCGGCUGCCGGAGCGCGCUCGGCGGCUGCGCUCCGAGACGCCGGCUGCCAUGAUUGCGGGCAGCGGGGCGCGCGCGCGCACGCUCGGGCCCGGCUUGGGGACCCGGGGCGAACCCACGGUCCCUGGCCUGACCGCAGACCCGUGCGAGCCGCGGAGUGCGGCCAGGUCUCCGGGCUCAUCCCAGCGAGGCUAGUGUUCGCCGUGGAGUUCUAGACGAGGCUCCGGAAACAACUUCCUGCUCCCCCCGGCCCAGGGCGCAGGAGCUGCGGGGAGAAGUUCUAGGCCGCAGCUUUGCUAUCUUGGAGCCGGACGACGACACUGCUGCCCACGGGCCGCGCGGUUCCUUCCCGCGCCCUCUCCCGCGGUCGCGACCAGCCGGGCUCCAGGGCCCGGACACUGGUUAGAGUGACAAGAAGGCCGCAGCUGCUUUUUCUGCCUGCUCCGCAGGAGCGCCUGAGUGGUUUCUGGCGCUUGGGGACGCCGACACGGGGUCGCUGUGCUCGGACCCCAUCCCCCUGCCUGGGCAUGCCCUCUCUCGGAGCCAGAUGGACCUGGUUGUCCCCGGAUGCCCGCGACAGGGGCCCGAGAGAAAGAAGGCCUCCUGGGCCCCAUCCCAGUGUCUCUCUGUGCCUGUCCCCCCCCCCCCCCCCCCAGCCGGCCUUGGCAUUCUAACCAGUGUCCCUUGACGUCACAUCUCGCCAUUUCUGUCAACCAAUUGAAACUUGCCCGUUGUCAUAAAAAUAUAUAUACUUUUUAUGCCA